UAAUCGCAGAUCAGAAUGCUGCGGUGAAUACGUUCCCGGGUCUUGUACACACCGCCCGUCACACCAUGGGAGUUGGAAAUGCCCGAAGCCUGUGAGCUAACUUUUAGAGGCAGCAGUCGAAGGUAGAAUCAAUGAUUGGGGUGAAGUCGUAACAAGGUACC
rnacentral:rRNA from 1 species